AGUGACAGAGUGAGACCGUGUCUCUAAAACAGAACAAAACACUACACAAAGCUUGUUAGAAUACAGUUAAGAGGUUAUUGUCAUCAUUGAGGCAAAAAUGAUGAUGAUGGCCCUGAUCAGCAAAAAAGCCAUGAGGAUGGAGAGAAGUGUAUGUGUUUCGGGGAUAUUCAUGACAUAGGGUUGAUGUAUUAGUGACUGAUUAUAUAUACAAAGGAAAGGGAGUGGGGGAGUCAAGGAUGAGGAUGGCAGUGCAUUCACAAAGACAGGGAACACUUGGGAUCUGUUUUAAGGAAAGAUGAUGAGUUCAUUCUGUACAUGUUGAGUUUGAAGUGUCUGUGGGUUAGCUGAGUCAAGAUGUCUAAUAGGCAGCUGAAUACGUGAGUUUGGAGCUCAGGAGAGGGACUGCAGGUUAUUAGUAUCAUGGUAGUACCUGGAGUUAAUUACACUAGAUGACAUCAUUUGGGAGGGCCUGGAAGGACAGCCUUAUUUUAGGAAUGGACCUGAGUUAAGAAUGAAAUAGAAGGUGAGGAAGUGGAGAUAGCAAGUUUGAACAAGUCAUUCAAGAGAUUUAGCUACAAACAGUAGGCAGA
rnacentral:lncRNA from 1 species